rnacentral:piRNA from 1 species
UAGAGGCGUCAACCUGUUCAUCAGCUCAGC